rnacentral:lncRNA from 1 species
CACCAAAGCAAAAGCUUUCAAAUUUAGAAUACACAAGAAAUUUAUUUGCAUAGAAUUCUGUCUUUUCUGCAUUUCUGUUUUGGUGGUGGUGUAGUUCAGGCACUAGUUCAGUUCGCCGGAGUGGUUUCUGCGGUGCUCGGAAGCUACUGGUUUUACCUUUGUAUCCUGGAAAAUGGAUGCUCGUUUUAAACCUCAAGCACGGAUGGUGAGGGGGCGAAUAUGUUUUAAGGAAACUGUGUGUAACACAGGCCUCGGUUUGAAAUUUCAUUUCCUGCAAUUUCAAUUAUUCGUUCUGUUAUUUAUUGCAGUAAAUUCAAUAGUUGAUUUGUUGUUCAUUCUGUUAUUAUCCAAUUAGUUGUACGAUUGUAACUUGCUGUUAUAUAUCAUCUUACCAGACAAAAAACAUAUAUGGUAUUGAAAUCGAGAAUAUCGGAUUCCUCAUUUUUCAUAAACCGACCGAACUGGUGAAACUUGGGAUUUUCUCUACAGCUGUAAGGUGUGGGUUUUCACCACCGUAGAUCACAUUCACUUAGAAAUUCUUGAUGGGAAGAAAAUGGUUUCUUGAUGGGCUUGAUAAUGGUUUGUGAUUUAGGAUGAUGGAAUUCAUGACAAGGUGGUAAGUUUUGUGGUGGAAGAGACAGGCGGGGCGACGGCGACGACGACGGCAACAAUUGUGGUGGUGGGUUAAUUUAGGUGGGGUGUGAAGGAGAUGAUGAACAAUACUUCUUUUUGGGUAGGGUUGGGGUUGAGGCUAGG